UACGAAGGGGGCUAGCGUUGCUCGGAAUCACUGGGCGUAAAGCGCACGUAGGCGGCUUCUUAAGUCAGGGGUGAAAUCCUGGAGCUCAACUCCAGAACUGCCUUUGAUACUGAGAAGCUUGAGUUCGGGAGAGGUGAGUGGAACUGCGAGUGUAGAGGUGAAAUUCGUAGAUAUUCGCAAGAACACCAGUGGCGAAGGCGGCUCACUGGCCCGAUACUGACGAUCAGGUGCGAAAGCGUGGGGAGCAAACAGG
rnacentral:rRNA from 1 species